ACGGAAGGCAGCAGUGGGGGAUAUUGCACAAUGGGGGAAACCCUGAUGCAGCAACGCCGCGUGAGUGAUGACGGCCUUCGGGUUGUAAAGCUCUGUCUUCAGGGACGAUAAUGACGGUACCUGAGGAGGAAGCCACGGCUAACUACGUGCUAGCAGCCGCGGUAAUACGUAGGUGGCGAGCGUUGUCCGGAUUUACUGGGCGUAAAGGGAGCGUAGGCGGAUUUUUAAGUGAGAUGUGAAAUACUCGGGCUUAACCUGAGUGCUGCAUUUCAAACUGGAAGUCUAGAGUGCAGGAGAGGAGAAGGGAAUUCCUAGUGUAGCGGUGAAAUGCGUAGAGAUUAGGAAGAACACCAGUGGCGAAGGCGAUUCUCUGGACUGUAACUGACGCUGAGGCUCGAAAGCGUGGGGAGCAAACAGGAUUAGAUACCCUGGUA
rnacentral:rRNA from 1 species